GAUGAACGCUGGCGGCGUGCUUAACACAUGCAAGUCGAACGAUGAACCGGAGCUUGCUCUGGGGAUUAGUGGCGAACGGGUGAGUAACACGUGGGCAACCUGCCCCAGACACCGGGAUAACCAUUCGAAAGGAUGGCUAAUACCGGAUACGACCACUUCGGGCAUCCGAUGGUGGUGGAAAGGAUUCUGGUCUGGGAUGGGCCCGCGGCCUAUCAGCUUGUUGGUGGGGUAAUGGCCUACCAAGGCGACGACGGGUAGCCGGCCUGAGAGGGCGACCGGCCACACUGGGACUGAGACACGGCCCAGACUCCUACGGGAGGCAGCAGUGGGGAAUAUUGCGCAAUGGGCGAAAGCCUGACGCAGCGACGCCGCGUGAGGGACGAAGGUCUUCGGAUUGUAAACCUCUUUCAGCAGGGAUGAAGCGAAAGUGACAGUACCUGCAGAAGAAGCACCGGCUAACUACGUGCCAGCCGCCGCCGUAA
rnacentral:rRNA from 1 species